rnacentral:misc_RNA from 1 species
UGCGAAUAACAGUCUUGGGAAGAUACGAGAAGAAGAAUCCACGCACGACAAUAACAAGUCAUUUUUAAAAAAACGCUCACAUUGUUUACAUUUCUGAAUAGUUAAAGGAUCUUCGUAGUUGCGGAAUAUGACGAGCUUUUUCGACCAUCCGUAUUAUAAAUGGAAUAAAGUAUCUUUGAUGAGCAUCGGCACUUGGCCGGAACAAUCGCUCUUUGUGACGUGUUUCAUGUCAACUUUUGUAUGUGCCAAUCUGUUGAGCAUGUUCAUACCUGAGGGACUAUAUCUGAAGAAUAAGUGGCCAGAUACGGAUGCCUUUCUCGACUGGUUAGCGCCAUUUUGCAUUCUAACGAUGGCAGUCAUACAAUUAUUAAAUGGCAGUUUCCAACGUAAAAAGUUUAGUACGAUUCUGAAGCAUAUAUCUUCGGACUGGAAGCGUUUUGGUGAUUCACCCAACGCAGAAAUACUUCAUAAGUAUGCUGCUCGCGGACGCUGGAUUACAAAAGCAUAUAUCAGUUGGAUGUAUUCCGCGUGUACGUGUUAUCUUAUGAUGCCCUUUUUGACACCAAAGAUCGUUGAAUUUUUUGUUCCUUCAAACGAAUCGGAGGGGAAAAUUUACCUUUUCAACUCUUAUUAUGGUGUAAACUCUGAUGAUUAUUACUUUUUCAUAUUCGGCCACAUGUUUUGGGGGUCAUGGGUGCCGAUUAUAGUAAUGAUAUCGAGUGACGCAAUGUUCUUCGUAUUCGUGGAACAUGCUUGUGCUCUCUUUAAAAUUGUCGAGACUAAUUUGAAAUCGACAUGCAACCAUUAUGAUGCCACUGAGCGAUGUGGAAAUAGCAGUAGCUUUCAGAUAAUUUGUCACUGCAUAGACCUUCACCAAAACGCAAUAAUUUUUACUAGCCUCAUCGAUUCUGCUUACAAUCUCUCUCUGUUAGGGGUGUUAGGGGCCUCCCUACUAGCGUUGAGCGUCACAGGACUACAGUGUACCUGGUCAAAAAAUAAUGGAUCACAGCACAUCAAUUUUCGAUUAUGCAUACUCAGUGAAUUGGUAUGCACUAACACCAAGAGCGCGAAAGUUAUUAAUUUUAAUUAUGGUUAGAAGUCUGAGACCAUGUCAAAUCAGCGCCGGAAAAAUCUACUUGCUUACAAUGGAAAACUAUAGCGCGAUGAUGCAAACGUCCAUGUCAUUCUUCACUGUCCUCUCUUCAAUGCGUUAGUUUCUUGCUCUUGUGUGAAAAAAUAAAUGUUUUAUUAACUUAUGUCCACGUAAUUGGCAUGUUCAAAUUGUACCGUUAUGUUGUAUUCAUCCAUACACACUGAAAACUGUCACAAUGUUAUUUUGUCAAUUUAUCAAAUAAUUUGCAGAUUUUGUAAACAUGAUAACAUCUUAGUUUUGCAAUACGUUACUUCACU